ACUGGGGGUAAAUUUUUUUUUUUUUUUUGAACGAAUGUUAAAUUCUUAUUCAAAAAAGCCUUUUACAUGUGUGACCUCUGUACAUAUAACUUCUUUAGAGACCACUAUAGAUUAUUAGAUUAUAAGGAUAUUCACAUUCUUGUAAACCAAAAUUGAAUAAUACCCUCCAAUUUCUUCCCACCUUUCCCUCUCAUUAGACUAAGCUUAUUUUUUACUCCUUUCUCAAUCAACUUCUUCAAACUCAACAAGGGGAUGGUCUUUUCUCCAUAUCUUAUCUUAUUUCUCUCCCGCCAUAAUGUGUGGAUGGAAGCUUGUAAGGAGUACCUGAUACAGAACAGAGCUUUCUUCUCCAUGUUUCUUGCGGUAAUCAGCCUCACAAUGUCAUCCCAUUGGACCGUAUAGUCAGUACUGGGGGUAAAUUUCUGGCAUCUCCGAUCAGAUUCGUUGUUGACUCUCGAAGGAUCAAAAACUUUUUCAAAGAGCCGACAAAACAAAGUAAAGUCUUUACUUACCGAUGGUUUCUUUUUUCUUUAGUUGAACUAUGUACCGUAAUGGAAAAAUUAUUUUUUUAUUCUGCAUUACAUGAAUUAUUUAACAAAUCUUUGCUUACUCUUUGUUCUUGUUCUAACACCAAUUAUUUAUCCUGCAUUACAUGAUUUCUAUAUUUAUGUGCGGUAUAUACAUGCAAGCCAUCAAUAUUUAUCAUUCAUGUACUGAUAAUUAGAUAACCUUGCACGCUUGAUGAUUCUUAGGUUAUAUAGUGUAGUGACAUAUAUACUGUUAAGCUUAUGUUUUGUAAUCUAUGAUACUAUUUUUGUUUUCAUCAAAGUAAAUACGUAGACUAAUUUGUUCACUGCAUUUUUUCUACUUGUUCCCUUUUGAAUUACUCUCUCGCUAGUCGCUACUUCAUUCUAUAUUGAAUUACUCUAUAGUCUAUAUUGUUGCUUUAUAGGUGUUUAAUGGAUAGUAUCUUCAAAAAACUGUGAACGAAGAUAAGUAAAUUUUUUUUUUGCUUAUACAGUUUCUAAUGCUACGAUACAUUGUUCUUACAGACUUGUAGUUAAAUAUUGAGGUGCAUGGAAAUGAAUUAGUCAAGGAGUGGAACAGUAUGAUGACUGUUUCUUAUUGUGUAAUUGUAUUUUUUCUAAUAUAAUUGUUUUCAAUCUUCUUUAGGAUAAAGAAUGAGACAUUUAUCCUUGGCGAAUGUUGAUAUAAGAUAGAACAUAGCACAAAGAAAGAUAAGAAGUUACCUCAUUAAAAAAAUCAAAGAAUUAAGAAUAGUUUACUUACCUUCAGGAUGACCCCCUUCUGUAUGGUCAAAAACAGGGUUCGUUUUAAGCACGAGCUCGUUUCAACUACUUAAAGCACGGGAAUCUUCUUACCAGACAUAAAGCAGCUCAAAAUCGUUUACCUUCUCGUCAAAGAGAAUGAUCUCUAAAGUCUCACCAAAACCGGCAUUGGAUGGUUUCCAGGUGUGUAUGACUUUGGUUUCAAUCAACCAAGUUGUUUUCCAUGGCCUAAUCUCAUCAAGUUUGCAGAAUCCAAUAAACUUUCAAGCUUGGUAUCGCUGGAACAUCAUUAUCAAUAUACAAAGAGAUGGUACAUCUAAUCUAUAAGAAAAGAAAAUCAGUGUUGAUGCAAUUGAAGUUUAUUUAAA